GAUGAACGCUAGCGGCAGGCCUAAUACAUGCAAGUCGGACGGGAUUUGGGAGCUUGCUCCUAAUGAGAGUGGCGCACGGGUGCGUAACACGUAUGUAACCUACCUUAAUCAGGGGGAUAGCCUCUCGAAAGAGAGAUUAACACCGCAUAAUAUAUUUUUAUGGCAUCGUAGAAAUAUCAAAUAUUUAUAGGAUUAAGAUGGGCAUGCGGAACAUUAGCUAGUUGGUAAGGUAACGGCUUACCAAGGCUACGAUGUUUAGGGGAUCUGAGAGGAUGACCCCCCACACUGGUACUGAGACACGGACCAGACUCCUACGGGAGGCAGCAGUAAGGAAUAUUGGUCAAUGGGCGCAAGCCUGAACCAGCCAUGCCGCGUGCAGGAAGACGGCCCUAUGGGUUGUAAACUGCUUUUGUACCGGAAUAAACCCUUUUACGUGUAAGAGGCUGAAUGUAUGGUAAGAAUAAGGAUCGGCUAACUCCGUGCCAGCCGCCGCAGUAA
rnacentral:rRNA from 1 species